rnacentral:sRNA from 1 species
ACUGGGUGUGGUGGCACACCCCUGUAAUCCCAGCUACUCAGCAGGUGGAGGCAGGAGGAUCAUCAGUUUGAGGCCAGCCUAGGCAAUUUAGUGAGACCCUGUCUCAA